GUCUCUCUGUUGCUCAGUUUGUUAGAGCGCUGCAUCGAAAUCGCAGGGCCGCAGAUUCGAAUCCUGCAGAGGGCCG